rnacentral:rRNA from 1 species
CGGGGCGCAGCAGGGGGGAAUUUUGCGCAAUGGGGGGAACCUUGACGCAGCGACGCCGCGUGGGUGAUGAAGGCCUUCGGGUUGUAAAGCCCUGUUGGGGGGGAAGAUAAUGACGGUACCCCCCGAGGAAGCCCCGGCUAACUACGUGCCAGCAGCCGCGGUAAGACGUAGGGGGCGAGCGUUGUCCGGAAUUACUGGGCGUAAAGGGCGUGUAGGCGGCUUUUCAAGUCGGCCGUGAAAUUCCCCGGCUUAACCGGGGGGGUGCAGUCGAAACUGAUGGGCUUGAGUGCAGGAGAGGGUGGUGGGAUUCCCGGUGUAGCGGUGACAUGCGUAGAUAUCGGGAGGAACACCGGUGGCGAAGGCGACUUCCUGGCCUGUUACUGACGCUGAGGCGCGAGCUGGGGGAGCAAACAGGAUUAGAUACCCUGGUAGUCCCAGCUGUAAACUCUGGGUACUAGGUGUGGGGGGCUUCGAUGCCCUCUGUGCCGUAGUUAACGCAUUAAGUACCCCGCCUGGGGAGUACGAUCGCAAGGUUGAAACUCAAAGGAAUUGGCGGGGGAGCACA